CGGGACGCGGGGCCGGCAGAAGGGGGCGGACGCAAACGCACACUCAGAUCCAGACCCCCAGCGGAGAAAAGGGUCGGGAAGCGCCGGGUCCGAGUGCUCCCCGGGGUGGGUGAGGAUACCCCCGGGGCUCGUCUGCCUUCCCCCGAGGGAGCGGGUGGGGGAAGAGUCAAGGGGAAAGUCGUGCCCCCCGACAGCUGAACUAGUUUAGCAAGGAAAGCAGGGACAAAAGUCACUUUCCGGAGCAUAAAAGGCCGGGAAAGCGGCCGGCCGGACUCACAAAGGUGAAUCUGAUUUCACUUUGAGCUUCAGACAUGGCCAACCAAAACAUUGCAAACCUCUGACUUCAGUGAUCGAUUCUGGACAUCUGAACCAUAUGUUGAUAUCUAGGCCAGUUAAAUCAAAAGAAACAAAACAGUUCUGGAGCUGGAGCCAGUGUUGACUAUGAGCCAUGAAGAUGAGGCCAACACUCUAGAGGAGGCAGAACAACAAGGUAGAAGUAAUCUGGAUCCCUAAGUGACAACCUGGAUUGGAGCCACCUUCCUCCCUGGGACAACCCAUGAGAAAUAAACUGUUUUAUCUAAA